GGUUUGGUGGCCUAGGGGUAAGGCACCACAGAGUUAUGUAUUGGGGUGACCCAGGUUCAAUCCCUGGUCUAGCCA